AGUGAACGCUGGCGGUAGGCCUAACACAUGCAAGUCGAACGGCAGCACAGUAAGAGCUUGCUCUUACGGGUGGCGAGUGGCGGACGGGUGAGGAAUACAUCGGAAUCUACUUUUUCGUGGGGGAUAACGUAGGGAAACUUACGCUAAUACCGCAUACGACCUACGGGUGAAAGCAGGGGAUCUUCGUACCUUGCGCGAUUGAAUGAGCCGAUGUCGGAUUAGAUAGUUGGCGGGGUAAAGGCCCACCAAGGCGACGAUCCGUAGCUGGUCUGAGAGGAUGAUAAGCCACACUGGAACUGGGACACGGUCCAGACUCCUACGGGAGGCAGCAGUGGGGAAUAUUGGACAAUGGGCGCAAGCCUGAUCCAGCCAUACCGCGUGGGUGAAGAAGGCCUUCGGGUUGUAAAGCCCUUUUGUUGGGAAAGAAAAGCAGCAGGUUAAUACCCCGCUGUUCUGACGGUACCCAAAGAAUAAGCACCGGCUAACUUCGUG
rnacentral:rRNA from 1 species